UACGUAGGGGGCUAGCGUUAUCCGGAAUUACUGGGCGUAAAGGGUGCGUAGGCGGUCUUUCAAGCCAGAAGUGAAAGGCUACGGCUCAACCGUAGUAAGCUUUUGGAACUGUAAGACUUGAGUGCAGGAGAGGAGAGUGGAAUUCCUAGUGUAGCGGUGAAAUGCGUAGAUAUUAGGAGGAACACCAGUAGCGAAGGCGGCUCUCUGGACAGUAACUGACGCUGAGGCGCGAAAGCGUGGGUAGCGAACAGGAUUAGAUACCCCCGUAGUCCCUGA
rnacentral:rRNA from 1 species